AUCAGAGACUCUGUCUCUCCGUGUUCACAGCGGACCUUGAUUUAAUGUCAUACAAUUAAGGCACGCGGUGAAUGCCAAGAGCGGAGCCUGAAA
ensembl:miRNA mdo-mir-124a-2 mdo-mir-124a-2